rnacentral:misc_RNA from 1 species
GAACGCACCUUGCACCCCUUGGUAUUCCGAGGGGUACGCCUGUUUGAGUGUCGUGAACUCCUCCACCUCUGGUUUUCCAAAGGCUGGGAUUUGGGUGUUGCGGGUCCCUGGCAGACCCGCUCGCCUUAAAUGAAUUAGCGAAGCCCUUGCGGCCUAGGCGGUGAUAAUUAUCUACGCCUUUGGCUUAGCGACUUUGAAGGGACUUGCUUACAACCGUUCGCCUGCGAACAAAUCAUACGACUUGACCUCAGAUCAGGUGGGACUACCCGCUGAACUUA